rnacentral:rRNA from 1 species
AACGAACGCUGGCGGCAUGCCUAACACAUGCAAGUCGAGCGGGGUCCUUCGGGGAUUAGCGGCGGACGGGUGGGUAACGCGUGGGAACGUGCCCUUUGGUACGGAACAACUGAGGGAAACUUCAGCUAAUACCGUAUGUGCCCUUCGGGGGAAAGAUUUAUCGCCAUUGGAGCGGCCCGCGUUGGAUUAGGUAGUUGGUGAGGUAAAGGCUCACCAAGCCUACGAUCCAUAGCUGGUCUGAGAGGAUAACCAGCCACACUGGGACUGAGACACGGCCCAGACUCCUACGGGAGGCAGCAGUAGGGAAUCUUGCGCAAUGGGCGAAAGCCUGACGCAGCCAUGCCGCGUGAAUGAUGAAGGUCUUAGGAUUGUAAAAUUCUUUCACCGGGGACGAUAAUGACGGUACCCGGAGAAGAAGCCCCGGCUAACUUCGUG